CAGCCGCAUGGGCCGCGCCGCCGCCGGAGGGCGGGCGGGAGGGCGGUGCGGGGCCGCGGACGCGGGCCCUGCGGGCUGGCAGCUCCGGCGCGCUCACCCCCCGUGACCCUGCCCGUCACCCGGCGCCCUGUCGGGGCGGGGCUCCGCGUCUACAACAAGACUUCUGAUUGGCUGUCCGUUCCACGGUCCCGGCGGAGGGUGGGAUCCUGGGCAACAACACGACUCCCGAUUGGCCAAGGGCGGUGACGGUUGCCGUGCACCUGCUUGAGGUCUCCGGCCUCCGCGCAUGCUCCGGGGCUCCGCCGGGUCGGGGGCGGCUUUGAUGUCUGUGAGGGGCCUCGCGGCGGUGCGGCCGGGACUCAAGGGCUUUGCAGGUGGAGGGCGAGGGGCUGACCCCUGACCCUUGGACCGGCGGGCAGGGCUGCGGCUGCGGGGUGAGCGUAGGUCCCGGCGGCCGGGCCUUACGCGGGAGGCACUUUCCGGUGAGCGUCCGCACGGAUCGUGACGGUGACGGUGACCGGAGCACGGGGAUCGCUCGGAGCCGGUCUUGGCAGAAUGUACCUCAAUGGAGUAUCCUUUUUCCUUCAGUCUUUUAUUGAACAGACUAUUUCAUCAAGGUUCUCAGAGUUGGAAUUUCUUCUGGAUUGAGCUCUUUCUGUUGUUAGCAAUAUGAUUGAAUCCAUAUAUAUCACAAAAUCUGAUAUGUGAUGACUGUAAAUAAAGGAUAAAUUUUCCUUGAAA